AGUGAACGCUGGCGGUAGGCCUAACACAUGCAAGUCGAACGGAAGCACAGUAAGAGCUUGCUCUUACGGGUGGCGAGUGGCGGACGGGUGAGGAAUGCAUCGGAAUCUACUUUUUCGUGGGGGAUAACGUAGGGACACUUACGCUAAUACCGCAUACGACCUACGGGUGAAAGCAGGGGAUCUUCGGACCUUUCGCGAUUGAAUGAGCCGAUGUCGGAUUAGCUAGUUGGCGAGGUAAAGGCCCACCAAGGCGACGAUCCGUAGCUGGUCUGAGAGGAUGAUCAGCCACACUGGAACUGAGACACGGUCCAGACUCCUACGGGAGGCAGCAGUGGGGAAUAUUGGACAAUGGGCGCAAGCCUGAUCCAGCCAUACCGCGUGGGUGAAGAAGGCCUUCGGGUUGUAAAGCCCUUUUGUUGGGAAAGAAAAGCAGCAGGUUAAUACCCCGCUGUUCUGACGGUACCCAAAGAAUAAGCACCGGCUAACUUCGUG
rnacentral:rRNA from 1 species